rnacentral:rRNA from 1 species
GAUGAACGCUGGCGGCGUACCUAAUACAUGCAAGUCGAGCGGACUUUCAAGAAGCUUGCUUUUUGAAAGUUAGCGGCGGACGGGUGAGUAACACGUGGGCAACCUGCCUGUAAGACGGGGAUAACUCCGGGAAACCGGGGCUAAUACCGGAUAAUAUCUUUCUUCGCAUGAAGGAAGGUUGAAAGGCGGCGCAAGCUGCCACUUGCAGAUGGGCCCGCGGCGCAUUAGCUAGUUGGUGAGGUAACGGCUCACCAAGGCGACGAGGCGUGGCCGACCUGAGAGGGUGAUCGGCCACACUGGGACUGAGACACGGCCCAGACUCCUACGGGAGGCAGCAGUAGGGAAUCUUCCGCAAUGGACGAAAGUCUGACGGAGCAACGCCGCGUGAGCGAAGAAGGUCUUCGGAUCGUAAAGCUCUGUUGUCAGGGAAGAACAAGUACCGUUCGAAUAGGGCGGUACCUUGACGGUACCUGACCAGAAAGCCACGGCUAACUACGUGCCAGCAGCCGCCGCCG